CCUACGGGAGGCAGCAGUGAGGAAUAUUGGGCAAUGGACGAGAGUCUGAACCAGCCAAGUAGCGUGAAGGAUGACUGCCCUAUGGGUUGUAAACUUCGUUUAUAAAGGAAUAAAACGAGGCACGUGUGCCUUUUUGCAUGUACUUUAUGAAUAAGGAUCGGCUAACUCCGUGCCAGCAGCCGAGGUAAUACGGAGGAUCCGAGCGUUAUGCGGAUUUGUUGGGUUUAAAGGGGGCGUAGAUCGGGUGUUAAGUAAGUUGUGAAAGUUUGCGGCGCAACCGUAAAAUUGCCAUUGAUACUGGCAGGCUUGAGUACAGUUGAGGUAGGCGGAAUUCGUGGUGUAGCGGUGAAAUGCUUAGAUAUCACGAAGAACCCCGAUUGCGAAGGCAGCUUACUAAACUGUGACUGACAUUGAUGCUCGAAAGUGUGGGUAUCAAACAGGAUUAGAUACCCGAGUAGUC
rnacentral:rRNA from 1 species